UACGUAGGGGGCAAGCGUUGUCCGGAUUUAUUGGGCGUAAAGAGCGUGUAGGCGGCCAGGUAGGUCAGCUGUGAAAACUCGAGGCUCAACCUCGAGACGCCGGUUGAAACCAUCUGGCUAGAGUCCGGAAGAGGAGAGUGGAAUUCCUGGUGUAGCGGUGAAAUGCGCAGAUAUCAGGAAGAACACCCGCGGCUAAGGCGGCUCUCUAGUACGGUACUGACGCUGAGACGCGAAAGCGUGGGGAGCGAACAGG
rnacentral:rRNA from 1 species